rnacentral:lncRNA from 1 species
AUGACAUCAUCAUCCAUGCAGCAGCGCCUCAGGGGGGCGUCCUCGUACCGUGGAACAACGCCUGGGGGGGGCAUGACGUCAGGAAUGAGGUCCGCCUCCGACAGCAGACUGGGCGUGGCCGACUGGGAGGCCGGCGUCCCCGGGGCGGAGAAGUCGGGGGAGGGAGACGGAGACCGGCUGGUGAGAGGAGUCCGGUCCGAGGAGCUCAGCGAGGAGAAGUCGAUGACCUCCCCCUUCUCCAGGACCAGAUCGGGCCGCCGCCCGGCCCCCCCGCCACGGCCCCCGCCCAGUUUGACGGGCGUGGAGGAGGCACUACGGUCGGGGUAUCCUCCCACCGCCUCCUUCUGUGCUCGCCGGAUGUCUUUGGCCUCCUGGGUGCGAGAACGCUUCUCCUUCAGCUGCAUGGCGUUCUCCACGGCGUUCCGGGCCCCCCGCUUCCUCAGGCCCUCCACCGUGAUGAUGGGGUCCAGGACGGGUUUGGACGCUGUGGACCACAGGCAGCUGAGCGGAGACGUGGAACCCCGCCCUCUGUGGACGGGCUGCGCCUUACCUUUGGUCUUGGCGGCGGACUUGUCUACAUCGGGCCUCAGGGUGGGGGGGCGGUUCUGGACCAGCUUCCACCAGCCGGGUUCUCCGAACUCCUGCGCCCCCGAGCGGAAGAAGGUGGGGCUGCCGACAGACAGGCAGCCGGCCACCGUGCUCCACCAGGUGGAGGUCUUCUUCCUGCAGAGAGACCGGGUCAGCGCCGGCGGGGGCUCACCCGUGCGGCGCCCGGCCGGCGGGGGCUCACCUGGUUCCCAGCAGGAAGUUCCAGUGCCGGCCGAUGAAGGCGCAGAUGUCCUCCUUCCAGCGGAAGUAGCCCUGCCGGCCCGUCCCCUCCAGGGACAGGUUGUACAUGGCCAGCAUCACCACCUGUCAAACACACACCUGUUCAGCCCCGCCCCCUCCCUCAGCGGGGUUUCAGGAGCGUACCUGCUGCCAGGUGAGCCGCAUCCUCUCAAAGCUCUCCUUGCCGUCCUCGGAGCAGCUGCAGCAGGUGAACUUGAAGAAGUUGUCUCCUUUCAGGUAGCUGGGCUGUUCUCCCCGGAGCUGAGCUGCAACAGACACCCGUUAGAGCCCCCCAUCGCCAUGGCAACGCUGCAUGCAGCUAGGCUUAGGGAGCAGGAUUUGGCCACGCCCCCUGUGGUGAUGGGCUCACCUGCAGGGGUCCACUUGUGA